AGCGACUUAGCAGCAGCAGCAGUCACCGUGUGUAUGUAUGUGUGUGCGCGCGCACAAGCGGGUAGAAGGUUGGAAGGAGACGACAACUCUUAUUGUAUGUACAGCAGACCACAGGCUCACUGAGGGCAGUGACCCUGUCUACGCAGCACCCUGCCCCCACCGCACCUGAUCCGAUUGGGGGAACACUAAAUGGAUGACUAGCAGUUGUGUGUGUGUGACGGAAUAGAGGGCCUCUGGGAGGAUCCUUUCUGGCUGCGGAGGAGUGUUCCAAGCCCGCGCAUCCAGCGAGCAGUGUUAGAGCACCCCCAGAGCACCCCGAGGCCCAGACUACUCCCAUUUCUCUCCCUUUCUCCGAAGCCCGCCAGUCGGGUGCUGGGAGCUUGCCAGGGCGUUGGCAUGGCGCCGCCUUCGGCAGAAAGUAAAGCUCGACCAGAUGCUGGGCGAGCCUGGUGAGGAAGGGCCCGAGCUUUAGGGGAGGUCCUGGGUGUCCAACCUGGCCCCGCGUCUCCUUCUCUGCUUCGGAUUUCACAUCUGUGCAAUGGGCGAGUGCAGCCGGCUCAGGGCUGCUGGCGGGAUCAGACCCGGGAGGACUGGAGAUGCGGUUUAGCCCAGACCCGCGCUCCGGCAGCGGUCUCCGAUCCCAGUUGGGGUCUGCGGGCAGGACGCAGGUGGGCGAAGGAGCCUAUCGCCGAGCACCGCGCCCCUCUCGGGCCACCGGCCUAGGCGCCCUCGGGGUGGGAAGCGUUUCCAGGGCGGCCUGCCGCUCCCGCGCGGUAACCCAGAUCUGUCACCGCGGCCCAGCGUCUCGGCAGCAAAUCCCCGCCCCGAGAGGGGUCGACUGGGGAGGGGGUACUCGGGGGUCCUGGGCUCCCGACCCAGCCCUCCCACGGAGGCUGGGGUGCGGGGCGCCCAGUGUGAGCCCAGCCCCCGCUCCCGGGCCCCGCCCCGCCGGCAGCUCGCGAUCGAUGCGACAGCCCUCCUGCCCCUCCCCCAAAGGCCAAACAAAACAUAGUAAAUAUUUAAUCCGGGCCAGGGAGCCGGGAGCCCUCCCCACCUCCCUCGGCAGCCGUCUGGCUCCUCUGCCAGCCCCGGCCGUUCUCCCCGGUAAUGAGGCCGGAGCAGCAAGGAUCGAUCCGCGGCCCGGGCGGGGUGGGGGUGGGGGCCCGAGCCCUCGGGUGGCAUCGCUGUUCGCCCCCAUUCCGCUCCGCCAUCCCAGACCCAGGAGACUCGAGCCAACCGGGAGCCUGAGCUUGUCCGAGAAGGCCAGCGAGGAGGAGGUGGGGGGCCGCUGCGCCCCUGCCCACCCCCAUCUCAGGCCUGUGCCUACUUGAAGGUCAAUUGAUCUGAACCAGUUAGCAAGAGGAUAAGGACCUGUGUAUCUUCAACCAAGGGGAGAUCUUGCACCAAGCCAUCUAAGAGGGCUGAUAGAGAUCCUGAGUGCCAGGCUUAACCAAUGUGCUGUCCCGCCUUCCAGAUGGUGCUUCCAUCCACGGCGAGAGUCAGCCCAUCUUAUCUCUGGGGGUCCAGAGGCAGCAGUCUGCUGUUACCCCAGAGACUGGAAGUGUGAUCCACGAGUGAGACCAGGGAGCAGCAAGUGGACUUUCCUGCGAGGAGGUUUUUGACUUCAAGUGUCCCCAGAAAUGGGCCGGGUCAAAGGAGUCAUGGGGGUGGGGAGUGGAGGGGAGGUGGGGACUGGGAAGGCUUUGCCAUUAUUCCAGUUCUGCUAGAUCACAACAGUUCUUGGAAAUUGCCUCAGAUCUCACAGCACUUUCCUCUUAAUAGUCUCGAUGGUGGUGAAUCCUUGGCCACUGAGGGUAGGUUUGAUUUUUUGGAAAAGGCCAAGAAUAAUUUGAAGCUGUGUAUUGUGAAUAAACAGACAAGACAUUUUCAGAAGGUGGUUUGUUUUUGUUGUUGGGAUUUUUUUUUUUUUUAAGUUGAAAGCAAGAUGGUACUCAAGAAUUGAACCACUUUUGGAAUUCCCUGGCAGUCCAGUGGUUGGGGGCUUCCCAGGUGGUGCUAAUGGUAAAGAACCCACCUGCCAAUGCAGGUUAAAUGUAAGAGACACUGUUUCAGGCCCUGGGUCAGGAAGAUCCCCUGAAAGAGGGCAUGGCAACCCACUCCAGUAUUCUUGCCUGGAGAAUCCCAUGGACAGAGGAACCUGGCAGGCUGCAGUCCACAGGGUCACACAGAGUGGGACACAGCUGAGCAACUUAGCAUAGCACACAGCACAGAAGCUUUAUUGUUUUAGCCAGUGGUUAGGGAAUCCCCAUCAGGGAUUCCCUGGUGGCUCAGAUGGCAAAGAGUCUGCCUGCAAUGCAGGAGACCCAGGUUCGAUUCCUAGGUCCGCUUGAGAAGGAAAUGGCAACCCACUCCAGUAUUCUUGUCUGGAAAAUCCCAUGGACAGAGGAGCCUGGCAGACUACAGUCGAUGGGGUCUCAAAGAGUCAGACACUUUCCUUUCACUUUCCUAGGACUCUAUGUUUUCACUGCCGAAGGCCUGGGUUCAAUCACUGGUCAGGGAACUAAGAUCUCACAAGCUGCAUGCUGCAGCCAAAAAAAAAAAAAAAAGAGACAGAGAGAAUUGAGCCACUUUCCUCAUAAGAAAUUUCCAGAAGUAUUUCAAGUGAUGGCAGUACUUUGAAACCGAAGUGUGUGGGGGGUGCUGGGGUCUGAAGGUGACCACUUCAACAGAAGGGCCAGGGAGGGGAAUUGAUCCUUUAUGGAAGCAUUGCAUGCGCCAGACACUUUACAUACAUUAUCUCAGCUGCCUGAAAUCAUUUUUGGAGUAAGGCCUGUCUAUAAAAAACAAUUCAUCAAUAAUCCAUUAUCUUGUAUACUCUGUACUUCUCACUGUAAUCCUGUUAGAACAAGUGCUUAGCCCAUUUCACAGGUGAGGAAACUAAGGCUCAGGGAAGUUGAAUGACUUAAGAGCUUGUAAGUGUCAGGGUCAGGAUUCAUACCCAGGUCUGACUGGCCCCAAACUCAAGGCUAAUUCUCUUUUGGCCGGGUAAGUUCUGGUGUGCCCAGCACACUCCUCUCCCCCCGCACCCCCGGCCACCCGCCAAACACAGAUUUUUAGUUUCAUUAUGUCAAGGUGACGUCAUUUAGGCUACAUCCACCACUUUAAAAAAGAAAGCAGGUCAUAAAGGAGUCAUGUGCUUGGCCGAAAUGCUGACUGUGUGCGGUGGCAGGCGGCGUCAGCAGGCGUCAGGGGACGCGUGGGUGACAAUGGCAAGGCGUGAAGUAUGGUGUUUAUUAGGCACUGGCAAAGGCCCGAGAGUUCCAGAUGCCAAGUUGUGAUAAGUGGAAACUGCCUGUCUCGGCUCCAAACACGGAGCAGGCUCCCAGGUCUGAGCCUUUGAGUCAGCUGGAUGCUUGGACGGGCCGACCCUCACCACUGGCAAGACAGGGCUCCUAUUAUUAUUAUAACAAUGAUAAUUCAUGCUGAUGGAACACUCCUUAUGUGCUAGGCAUUGUGCAAGUGCCUUACCAUGAUGGUUUGAUCUCUCUGUAUAGUCUCUCUCCCUCUUCUUUUUCUUCUGGCCUCGCCUCAAGGCUUGCAGGAUCUUUUUUUUUUUUUUUUAAUUUAUUAAUUAUUUUGGGCUGCACUGGGUCUUCGUUGCUGUGCCUGGGCUUUCUCUAGUUGUGACAGUGGGGGCUACUCUCUAUUUGUGGUAUGCGAGCUUCUCCUUGCGGCGGCUUCUCUUAUUGCGGCUCAAGGGCCCUGAACGUAGGCUCAGUAGUUGUGGCCCAGGGGCUUAGCUGUUCCACUGCAUGUGAAAUCU